rnacentral:rRNA from 1 species
ACUCAAAGGAAUUGACGGGGACCCGCACAAGCAGAGGAGGAUGUGGUUUAAUAUGACGCUACGCGUAGAACCUUACCGAGGCUUGACAUCUUAGGAACCUACUGGAAACAGUGGGGUGCCUUCGGGAGCCUAAUGACAGGUGCUGCAUGGCCGUCGUCAGCUCGUGUCGUGAGAUGUUGGGUUAAGUCCCGCAACGAGCGCAACCCUUAUCGUAUGUUGUAUUUUUCAUGCGAGACUGCCCGGGCCAACCGGGAGGAAGGUGGGGAUGACGUCAGGUCGGCAUGGCCCUUACGCCUCGGGCCACACACGUCCUACAAUGGCCAGUACAACGCGUUGCCAAACCGUAAGGUGGAGCUAAUCGCAUCAAAACUGGUCCCAGUUCGGAUUGAGGGCUGCAACUCGCCCUCAUGAAGUCGGAUUUGCUAGUAAACGUGGGUCAGCACACCACGUUGAAUACGUUCCCGGGUCUUGUACACACCGCCCGU